rnacentral:rRNA from 1 species
AGCGAACGCUGGCGGCAGGCCUAACACAUGCAAGUCGAACGAACUCUUCGGAGUUAGUGGCGGACGGGUGAGUAACACGUGGGAACGUGCCUUUUGGUUCGGAAUAACUCAGGGAAACUUGUGCUAAUACCGAAUGUGCCCUUCGGGGGAAAGAUUUAUCGCCAUUAGAGCGGCCCGCGUCUGAUUAGCUAGUUGGUGAGGUAACGGCUCACCAAGGCGACGAUCAGUAGCUGGUCUGAGAGGAUGACCAGCCACACUGGGACUGAGACCCGGCCCAGAAUCCGACGGGAGGGAGCAGUGGGGAAUAUUGCGCAAGGGGGGAAAGCCUGACGAAGCCACGCCGCGGGAAUGAUGAAGGUCUUAGGAUUGUAAAAUUCUUUCACCGGGGACGAUAAUGACGGUACCCGGAAAAGAAGCCCCGGCUAACUUCGUG